rnacentral:sRNA from 1 species
UAAGCGGAGGAAAAGAAACUAACAAGGAUUCCCCUAGUAACGGCGAGCGAACAGGGAAGAGCUCAAAUUUGAAAUCUGGCGUCCUCCGGGCGUCCGAGUUGUAAUCUAUAGAGACGUUUUCCGUGCCGGACCGUGUCCAAGUUCCUUGGAACAGGAUAUCAAAGAGGGUGACAAUCCCGUACUUGACACGACGACCGGUGCUCUGUGAUACGUUUUCUACGAGUCGAGUUGUUUGGGAAUGCAGCUCAAAAUGGGUGGUGAGUUCCAUCUAAAGCUAAAUAUUGGCGAGAGACCGAUAGCGAACAAGUACCGUGAGGGAAAGAUGAAAAGCACUUUGGAAAGAGAGUUAAACAGUACGUGAAAUUGUUAAAAGGGAAACGAUUGAAGUCAGUCGUGUCUGGGAGGCUCAGCCGGUUCUGCCGGUGUAUUCCUCUCAGACGGGUCAACAUCAGUUUUGUCCGACGGAUAAUGGCGGCGGGAAAGUAGCACCUCCGGGUGUGUUAUAGCCCGCUGUCGCAUACGCCGGAUGAGACUGAGGCAUGCAGCUCGCCUUUAUGGCAGGGGUUCGCCCACUUUCGAGCUUAG